CUGAGCCACGCGUGCUGCAGGCACUGCGCGGCCGUGGCGCGCUUCUCGGGGGCGUAGCGCAGCGCCGACAUCAGGAAACUGGUGAAUGGAGGCACCUCGUGUUUUCUCCACUUAAGUCUGUCCGCCAGGAUGGCGUGGAGGCUGCGGGGAAUGAGCCUGGAGAUCCGCAGAAGAGCACCUGUUGGAGAGCGCGUAAGCACAGUACGUUAAUUACGCCCUCGAGAGCGAUAGGCUGUUGCUCCUCCCCUCGCACAACUCAUCCAAAUCCUCCUGAAAGAUCGGUCUGUGUGCAUCAUCGUGUCUAUGCUUCACGUGCACUCCCACUUCUAGACUUCGCUCUCUGGUGUUUCAAAAAUCACCGUUACAAGUUAGCGUGUGGGGCCUCUUCAUUCGUGAGCACUUAUUAGAUGUGAACACAUCAAGCACAGAUGAAGCGUUCCCAGGAUGGUGAUACCGAAGUCAUUCCUGUGGUCCCUCUGCCUACCUGUGCACAACCCAGAGUGCGUUGUUGCCACAGACACGAGCCAUUCAUGUUUAAUUUGCUUUGUGCCUGCUCACUCCAUGAGAUUAAGGGUGACACUACUGACCAGGAAGUGAGCCUUGUCCCUUAGAGUUAGUGGUGUAAAUGCAGUGAUUCAGGUUAGGCAUGUGUGGUUGGGCCAGUUUGGUUCUCACGGAGAAUAAAUAUACAACAAGGAUUGUUUUUGACUCAUCUUUUGAGCACCAUAGAAGGAAUAAAUGAACAAAGAGCUGAAAAUGAGCAGGGAGGUGCUUGCUGAUCUACAGCACUGCAUUAGUGUGCAACAUGAGAGGAAUUGUACCUAGACAGGCUGUGUGGCUGGUUAAUAUGAGUGAGGAGGAGGAUGGACUGAAUUGCAGAAGGAUGGAGUUAUGUAAUGCCUUGAAGUCAAAAAAACUAUUUCAAGCUUAAUGAGCCAAAGGAAUUGGGAGAUUAAAACAGAAAGACAUUACAGCUGGGUCAGAAGACUAAAUAUAGCAGCUAUGGUGGAAGGAUGGGAGGAUAUGAGUGUCCCAUUCCUCUUCAUCAUUGUUCUCUGCUAGUGAAUGGGUGAAAUCCAGCCAGUUGCACACUCGCAGCUUUCCUGCCAUGUAGCUGUUUCCUGUCCUUAUUUCCAUUCUCUCCAGCUCCAAAGGAGAAAGGAUAGAAAUCUUUUCCUUGCUCGAUAUUUACUAUGACCCUUUUUGAGGUUUCUGUAUUUGCAUUUAUUGCUGGAAUGCUCCUGGAUUCCAAAGGUGGCCAUGCGGGAAGCGUUACUGCGCUUUACGAAAUCUCUACCUCUGUUCUGUCCCUGCUUGUAGCCUGCACUUUAUAACAUUACUUUUGAUGUCUUUCAGUAGUAGCUGAGGAGUGUAUCAGAGAUCCACAGUGAUUUUCAGGGUAAACUUCCUUUGGCUAAUUCUUACCUGGCCUUCUGAAAAACGUUGUUGACUUGUUCCAGGAUAAAGCAAUCUGGGGAGGGAUUCUUCCCAGGAGUUCAAUAAUGCGAGCAACGUGAUCUGGACAGAGGAAGAGAAAACAUGUCUAGAUACAGAGGCAGUGAUGCUUCUGUCAGUGAAAUGAAUACAACUGAUGGAGUCCUACCAUCAUCUCUGGAGAAAUAUUUCCCAGGUUGAGGAUUAAAUAGACACUCCCCCGUUGCCAUUUCAAAUGCCUAGAAAUGGAGUAGCGUUAAUUCACUGACCAACUGGGCGUUUUUCUUCCUCAUGAACUCUGAUGGGAAGGGGAACCGGCACAGGUACUAUCACACAGAACUGAUAAUGAAACAUGGAAAGAUUCACGUUGCUUUGGUGCACCACUGUGAAUCAGCACCUUUAGUUCCAUCAGGAUGGAAACCAGCGUGUGCCUGCUUCAGUCAAAUACAUGAGCUAGCACCAUGCUUGCAGUGUGAACUGCCUUAAGCAUAAACUAAUUACAUUGAAUAUAUCUGCAGCAUACUUUCAGUCCAAAGUGAAGGAGUGCAGACAGCCUGCUUUUCCUUCUCUGACUCAGGAAUGGCAAGGAGGUUGUGCUCCACAUGCAGUGUGCAGGUGGGUGCUGAGGACUGCUGCCCUGGACCUGCCAGUGUCAGUCACCUUCUGUGCGUGCUCAGCACUGUCUCCAGCCCUACCAGGCAGCCUGUGCUCCAGAUGUCUGCAGGAGUGCCAUAGUCCAAUCCAAGCAGCACUUCUAGGGCGCGGUAUGGCUGGGUCUGUAUCUCCUUAGAAAAAGGCUUAUACUGUAACAGAAACAAACACCCUUUGGUUGGCUUCGAGUAACAAAUAAAUGAGCAACAGUGAUGCUUGUGGCCACAAGCUGUCCAUGCAAUCACGAGGAAGAACUGAAGGUGUGUAGUAAAUGCGUGCAGGAGACAUCAGACCCAUUCUCAGCCCUACUGGCACCACACUAAAUUUACCUCCCAACAUUUCACAGUGAACUUGUUCACAAAUUUCUGGUUUACAGACUAACUGCAAGCGGAAGAAGGAUCCAAAGCUGACAUAUCUCUGGAGUGUACUGCCCAACUCUAAGCUGGGAGUGAUGAAUCAGUUCUGCUUUAGCACACUCCAGAAUAACUGCUCAGCUGUCGAAGGACUGACACCCCAGCUGUGAAGGAAGUGCAAAGCAUCUCACAGUCACAGGACCAAGACUUGCAGCCGACUCACUGUCCAGCAUGCACUGCCCAGAUCAGCAAUUUUCACUUCUAUGCUCAUUAAAUCAGAAUCUUCCAGUUGAUUGCCAGGGUCACCUCCUAGAUGGAAAGGAGGGAGAGAAAUCAGGUCUUUCUCCAAAACAACAGGUAUGCAUCACUUACCACAGAAGGUACUUGUAGACCUACCUGCCUUUGAAGUUUUUCAACCUAGCAAUCCAAAAAUGCUUUAGACAGGUGAUUCUUUUCAUCACCAAUAAAAUACCACUUCUCAUUUUUGAGGGAAUGCAAAGGAAGGGCUGCUAACCAGUCAGUCUAAGAGAAUGUUAUGGAAAACUGCAGCUUGCAGUGGAGUGGUGUGACCACACACACCUCCUGCUGAAAGGUGCCUGCCUGGCAAGAGUUGUCAAGAACUGUCAAGGUAGCAUUUUCACAUACAGACCCUGGAAAAGGGUAAUUUUUCUUCUGCUGCUUUGUAACUGUCAACUUAUGUCUGGUAUCAUGCCUUUUUGUUCCCAACAAAAGACUCUGCCAAUAAUUUAGCAUUUGUCUUUUGCCCCAGGGUUUGAGGGACAAAACAGCAACAUCAUGGGAGAAAUGCUUGUGGGAGAAUAUUAUGGGAGAAAAUAUGAAGAGUCUCAUUGCUGGGAGACUAAAUCCCUUGAGAAACUCCCCAGCCCUAUGGCUUAUCAUGUAUUCACAUCAUUCUCUGAAAAUAAAUCACAUCUCAAAAGGCCUCAAAGAGUACAUACAGGUCUCCCACAAACCUCAGGAAUACGGGAAAUAAAAGAGUAGAUGUGUCAUACAGUUUUUGGAUCAAACCAGUCAGUAUGUAUCCUAUUCCGUAGCUGAAAGAAGCAGUGAGGGAACCAUCCUGUCCUGAAAGCUGUCAGAAUUAGCUCUGAGGUUGUGCUCAGCUUAUUGACACGUGCCUCUGAUUUUGCACUGUUCUGCACGCACGCCUUUGUGCAAGGCCACUUUUCUGUUGGUGCCCUUGGUAACUUGGAGCCGCUCGAUGUGGGGUUUGUAGAAGCAGACAGGAGAGGUGUCAGCAGCGUGAGCUGGCUGUGUUGUUUUGUACCAGUGCUGUGGGAGAUGUGAACUCUUAAGCUAUCUGCACCUACUGCGCCGUUUCAUUUCUGGCAGUAACCUCCUAAGUCUCUGUUCUUGCAAUAAAACCCCCAGUGCUCACCUGGUGCCUUUAGCCUCAAAUCUGUUCUCUGGCCACAGUCAGCAGCAUCAAGCAGAAACCUCUGGAGGUUUUUGUCAUGAAUGUACAGCAGCACGUUCUCUGGUUUGAUGUCUGCGUGGAUAAUCCGGCAGCGCCCAUGCAGGAAGUGCAGGCCUGCUAGCACCUGUGUGAGCCAAACAGCACUGAGGUUAGCAAUGUGGCAGAUACUGUAUGGGGGUGGCAGUUGCACCCUGAAGAGCAGUAAUGUUGGCUGAGAGUUCCUGUAGAAGCAGGCACAAGUGGUUUCACCCUGAGAAUGGCCAGCGCCGUAGCCCACACACUCGGCACCGCCAGUGACGGAGCGUGGAGAUCUGGCAGAGGACACAGCAGAGUGCCCAGGUGCCAGCACAGAUGGGCAGGCCUGGAGAGUUGGAAAUAGGGCGAGACACGAAGAGGCGCUGCGAUCACAAAGCAGAACGUUCUCCUGAAAAGCAGCUUUUGUUCACGUGGCUGGCACGUCUUCAGCCCACCAAGCCUGUCUGUUAAUCCAGCAUUAUCACUGGAAUGGAAGUUGGGAGUCAGUUAUAGGGUGUUUGACGUGGCACAGGAGGGAGUCCCAUCAUGCAAGCAAAGAGAAGGGGUGAAUCAUAACGCAGCCAGGAGGAGGCAGGGAUGAUGAGUGAGUACAUGCAGAGAGGAAUUAAGGGUACUGCAGGAGAGCCAUGUAGGGAAAGAACAGCUCACGGCGGAGCAGGGAGAGCCUGGCUGUCACAGGGGAGAGAUAAACAAUGCGUGCAAGAGAAACGCUCUAUCAGAGAUCAGUAACAGUGAAAAGGCUACUAGGAGGUUAAGUUGCUCUUUUAAAACACUGGUCAGUCGUAAAGGCUGGCAAAUAUUCUCUGUAUUAUCAAAAUCUAUUCUGGGAUGAACACCAGCCCCAGGAAAAUACCAACCUUAAAUGGUAACUGUGAAACACAAGGAAAGAUUUAAAUAGCUAAACUGGAAUAAGUCAGAAGUAAAUGCUGUCCCAAUGCUGAUCCAAAGGGGAAAAAAAAAAAUAAAAUUACAGUUACACAGAUAAGAGAUCAAACAAAAGGCUUGGGUGUGAAACAGAGCAUAUCAAUUAAUGCCACUACGUUUUCAUCUAACUUAUUCAGGUGUUAGUGGAGCUGCUUUCGAGGAAGAAGAUAUUCCAAGAAAAGGAUGGAAGAGGAAGUGGUUUUCUUUCUGUGUCCCUAGAAGGGCAUAGGAAUCAAGAUGCAGUCAUACAGAAAUUCAUGGCAGGUGACCCCAGGAUGAAGACUAUGGUGAGUUCCCCAGCCAGCACUCCCACAGUGCCCUCACCCAAGCAGAACUCAGUUCUCUCACCUGCUGUAAAGAUUUUUUCACAAAAGGCAAAGGCAAUCCCUGGGCUGCAUAGUUACCCAUCAGGAAUUGCAGAGAAGGACCCAGCGCCUCAAACACCAAGCACGUAUGUGGGGAAGAGUCAUGGAUUCACCAACAGAGAGCACAUGCUGCUACCAGCUUCUUGCCCUUCACCAGAGCAGCCAAACAUUUCAUUAGCCAGCCUCCCCUCCUCCAGCCACCUUCACGUUCUCUGCUCUAGCUAUUGCCCUGCUCAUCCUCCUCGUCUGAGCACAGCAGUUGGAUCUGUGUUAUCCUGUGACUCCCCAGCACAACCUUCGCUGAUUGAGAGCUGCAGUUCUAUUAGCAGAAGGAUAUGGAAGCCGUUCUCUCCAAUCAUUCUGAAGUCAUCUAAUAAACAGAUGAUGUUUUCUCCUGCCCGAUCCUUCUUCUUCAUACUGCUUACCUGAGGGGGAGAUUCCAAGGAAACUGCAAUUAGAGACAUAUAUGUGCACAAGAACAUCUUGCACCCAUUUUAUCCUGUUCUGCAGACUCUCUUCCAGGAUUGGCAUUUUAUAACAAAUCUCAUGAGAACAGUAUCAAGCAAACCAGACUCCCAGAACACAAGCAAACUGUGUUACUAUGGAGUUAAUUUCUGUGUGCUGUCUUCCUCUGACCAUGUGACAGCAUCACCUUCAUAGCAUCUGAAUAACUCAGACAGCUGUGGUUGUCUGCAGUCAACUGAAGGCUGCCUGUUCUACCAGGGUGCAGAGCUGGUUCUGCACCUGGAGCAGUUGAGGGAAAAAGGGUUGGCUUUGGUGCAACAGAGAUCUCUGAUACCGAGCGGUGGGGGAAGAAGUGAAUGCAGAUCUUUCAUACAAGAACCAGGAGACAUCAAUAAACCUGGUACUUGGGAGGGUCAGAAAGAAACCUGAGAAGGUGGUUCUUCACACAGUGCAUGGAUGAUUGGUAGCAGUUUUUGUCACAGAAUGCUUCAGGUGCUGAAGCUCACAUCAGCUUGCAGGAAAGCAGGGCAGGACUCUUGAAAAUAAAUCCACUAAGAAUUACUGCUCAGCACGUCGCCCUUGGCCCAAGAAAUCUUGAGCUGUAAACUGUUCUUGGCCAGGCAGGGUGGUGUUCAGUGGGAGCAGCACCUCGUGCUUAGCUUGUCUUCUUGCCCACAUGGAUGUCUGCUGCUGGUAUGGGGUGCCUGGCUGGGCAACACCCCUCUGCCCCAGCGCAGGUGCUGUUGGUAUCCCCAGCUCUUGCACCACCACCACACAUUUUCAUGGCAAACUGUACCAUGAGUUUGCUCCCACAGAGCACCGGUUCAGCUAAAGCAACGGCUACUGUACCUACAGCUUUUAAUAUAUAAAUAUAUAUUUAUAUUUGUAUUUAUUGUA